GAAGUUGAGUGGCGGACGGGUGAGUAACACGUGGGUAACCUGCCUAAAAGAAGGGGAUAACACUUGGAAACAGGUGCUAAUACCGUAUAUCUCUAAGGAUCGCAUGAUCCUUAGAUGAAAGAUGGUUCUGCUAUCGCUUUUAGAUGGACCCGCGGCGUAUUAACUAGUUGGUGGGGUAACGGCCUACCAAGGUGAUGAUACGUAGCCGAACUGAGAGGUUGAUCGGCCACAUUGGGACUGAGACACGGCCCAAACUCCUACGGGAGGCAGCAGUAGGGAAUCUUCCACAAUGGACGCAAGUCUGAUGGAGCAACGCCGCGUGAGUGAAGAAGGUCUUCGGAUCGUAAAACUCUGUUGUUAGAGAAGAACACGAGUGAGAGUAACUGUUCAUUCGAUGACGGUAUCUAACCAGCAAGUCACGGCUAACUACGUGCCAGCAGCCGCGGUAAUACGUAGGUGGCAAGCGUUGUCCGGAUUUAUUGGGCGUAAAGGGAACGCAGGCGGUCUUUUAAGUCUGAUGUGAAAGCCUUCGGCUUAACCGGAGUAGUGCAUUGGAAACUGGAAGACUUGAGUGCAGAAGAGGAGAGUGGAACUCCAUGUGUAGCGGUGAAAUGCGUAGAUAUAUGGAAGAACACCAGUGGCGAAAGCGGCUCUCUGGUCUGUAA
rnacentral:rRNA from 2 species